GUUUACACGUUUCCCUAAUCUCAGAAAUCUUUUGAUAUGAACAUAUUCAAUAUUUAAGGAGAUUUAAUUAAAAAUGUUGUAGUAAACGAUUCUAAGAUUAAAAUGCAUCCUACAGUAGCUUCUAGCGAAAUUGUCAGUCAAGGAAGGUGGAAGAAAAACCUAACAAAAUGCAAAUUGGGCAGAUACAUUCAUCUAAUGGAUUGAAGGAUUUAAGAAUGCCUAAUAUUAGAAUGCCAAUAAUUAUGCAAACAGUUUUGAUAAAGUUUGAAGCUGCUAGUGUGAUUUCAAUGUUGCAGUGAUAAAUUAUUCUGGCACAACUCUUCUAAAUGCGCAAGGCCAAGAUUUUGAUUGAUGGAAUACAAUGGAUUAGGCGAGGAAGUUUGCAGAAUAGUUUUUAUGGAACAACAGCUGUUAUGCAAAUUAUAUAUUGGGAUUAACAGUAUGUUCACAUCCUUGGAAUUCUCAUACAGAGGCUGUAAUUUAUUUGCUGAAUUGACUAUAUGCUCCAUACUAUGGAUUACAGAAGAUUACAGAUUAUCUUAUAACAAUGUUUAUGAGACUAAAUAGAUGUGUUCUGAUUGUGGGAAGUUUAUAUGGAGUUAGAAUUUUGAUUAUACAACUACUAAAAGCUUGAAACAUGCAUAUAAAUCUUUCAUCAUACAUAUUGCAUUAAAAUUUGCAACAUAUCAAUUUCCAUUUAUGUAGGAAAUUAUCAUGUACAGCAGUGAUAUCAUGGAUAUGUUACAAUUUAAGUCGAAAGAAUUUAGAAUAUGUUAUUGUUAUUGACUAUAAGCAAAACAGUACUGACAUAAAAAUUAUUUCAGAGGGACCAUAAAUAAUUUUACAUCAAACUGAA